rnacentral:ncRNA from 1 species
CUACAAGGAAUUAGGAAUAGUUCCCCUUAUAACUAAUAAAUAUAAGGUAAAAAGAGGAUGAAUUUCAAGAAAAACUGUAAACUGUAAAGUUAACUUGAAGCGAAGCUUAUUUCAUAGUUUAUUAAUAUAUUUAAUAAGAACGUUCAACGACUAGAAGGAAAUUAUUUAUGAUAACAACCUUCCACGAGUAUCCUCCGUUGAUUAACUUUAAAUAUGUCCGAAGGCGAGAUAAUAGUUUAAAGUAAGACGAUGACAUAGUCUGAACCCAUGUGUAAACAUGGG